UACGGGGGGAGCAAGCGUUGUUCGGAUUUACUGGGCGUAAAGGGCGCGUAGGCGGCCACCGCAAGUCGGUUGUGAAAUCUCUGGGCUUAACCCAGAAAGGUCAACCGAUACUGCGGGGCUAGAGUGCAGAAGGGGCAACUGGAAUUCUCGGUGUAGCGGUGAAAUGCGUAGAUAUCGAGAGGAACACCUACGGCGAAGGCGGGUUGCUGGGCUGACACUGACGCUGAAGCGCGAAAGCUAGGGGAGCGAACGGG
rnacentral:rRNA from 1 species